GCUGUAGCCCUGAGUACAAAGCAGUCAAACGAUCAUUCCAACUCAAACUCAGCAUGGUGGCUGGCGACCAUUAAGGCCAUGCACUGGUGGACCGACCGACACUUAACCUUUUCUAAGCGUCACGGACUUCGUACGGAAGUGGGAGGCACUACUCGCAAGCGAGGAUGAGGGGAGCCAAUUGGCCCUCCUGGACCAAGCUCAGCGAGCCGCAAGAGCCAGUGGAGUACUGGACUGGGGGCGCCACCCAAACCUGCCAUAACUCCGAUUAACUGAUCAAUAAAGUUUUUUUUUCUCUUUC